AGGGAAUCUUCGGCAAUGGACGCAAGUCUGACCGAGCAACGCCGCGUGAGUGAAGAAGGUUUUCGGAUCGUAAAACUCUGUUGUUAGAGAAGAACAAGGAUGAGAGUAAAACGUUCAUCCCUUGACGGUAUCUAACCAGAAAGCCACGGCUAACUACGUGCCAGCAGCCGCGGUAAUACGUAGGUGGCAAGCGUUGUCCGGAUUUAUUGGGCGUAAAGCGAGCGCAGGCGGUUCUUUAAGUCUGAUGUGAAAGCCCCCGGCUUAACCGGGGAGGGUCAUUGGAAACUGGGGAACUUGAGUGCAGAAGAGGAGAGUGGAAUUCCAUGUGUAGCGGUGAAAUGCGUAGAUAUAUGGAGGAACACCAGUGGCGAAGGCGGCUCUCUGGUCUGUAACUGACGCUGAGGCUCGAAAGCGUGGGGAGCAAAC
rnacentral:rRNA from 1 species